rnacentral:pre_miRNA from 1 species
UGAGUACUCCCUCCAUCCGGAAAUACUUGUCAUCAAAAUGAAUAAAAGGAGAUGUAUCUAGAUGUAUAUUAGUUCUAGAUACAUCCAUUUUUAUCCAUUUUGAUGACAAGUAUUUUCGGACGGAGGGAGUAUGAA